CAGGUUGGAGUGAAUGGAUUUGGCUGUAUUGGUCACCUAGUCACAAGGGCUGCUUUUAACUCUGGCAAAGUGAAUAUUGUCGCCAUCAAUGACCCCUUCAUUGACCUCAACUACAUGGUGUACAUGUUCCAGUACGACUCCACAGCAAGUUCCAUGACACCAUCAAGGCUGAGAAUGGGAAGCUUGUCAUCAAUGGAAGUCCCAUCUUCCAGGAGCGAGAUCCCAGUGAAAUCAAAUGGGGUGACGCUGGCACUGAUUAUGUGGUGGAGUCCACUAAUGUCUUCAUUACCUUGGAGAAGGCUGGGGCUCACUUGCAAACCAAAAGGGUCAUCAUCUCUGCCCCCUCUGCUGACGUCCCCAUGUUUAUGAUGGGCAUGAACCAUGAGAAGUACCUACCAGAACAAUCUCACGAUUGUCAGCAACACCUCCUGCACCGCCAACUGCUUAGCCCCUUUGGCCAAGGUCAUCCAAGACAACUUUGGCAUCGUGGAGGGACUCAUGACCACUGUCCAUGUCAUCACUGCCACUCAGAAGACUGUGGAUGGCCUCUCUGGGAAGCUGUGCUGCAACAGCCAUGGGGCCUCCAGAACAUCAUCCCUGCGUCCACUGGCACUGCCAAGGCUGUGGACAAGUUCAUCCCUGAACUGAACGAGCUCACGGGCAUGGCCUUCAUGUCCCCACCGCCAUUGUGUCUGUUGUGGACCUGACCUGCUGCCUAGAGAAACCCGCCAAAUAUGAUGACAUCAAGAAGGUGGUGAAGCAGACAUCAGAGGGCCCCCUCAAGGGCAUCUUGGGCUACAUUGAGCACCAGGUUGUAUCCUCUGACUUUAACAGCAACACCCACUCUUCCACCUUUGAUGCUGAGGCUGGCAUUACCCUCAAAGACCACUUUGUUAAGCUCAUCUCUUGGUAUGACAAUGAAUUUGGCUACAGCAACAGGGUGGUCAGCCUCAUGACCCACAUGGCCUCCAAAGAGUAAGAGCCCUCAGACCACCAGCUCAGUGAGAUCAGGAGAGGAAGAGAGAAGCCCUCAGCUACUGGG